rnacentral:lncRNA from 1 species
UUUUUUUUUUUGAGAGAUAGGUAGCACGCUACCCGCUUCGUCUGUUUCAUUUGAAAAUAAACUUAGCUAGAAAUCUGAAUCAACUAGGAUUCGAACUUGAGUCUUGGGUACCAACCACCAAGCCCUUUGCCACUUGCUCUAGGAACGGUCGGUCCAAAGAGUAUAAUUUUUAUCUCAAAGAGUACAACUUUCAUUUAAACUAGUGCAAAAAAUUUUUAAAACAGUGUAACUUUAUUUUAACAGCGCAAUUUCAUCUUUUUCUUCCUUCUUCUAUUAAUUUUGAUCUUUUCUGUAGGAAAUAUAUAUUUUUUUAUUUUUAUUAUUCUUUUUUUUUCUUCUAUAAUUUUUUUUUUGUUACGACCUCUCCCCCUACCUCGCCGGCACUUCCUCUUCAUUGCCGACGACGUCGAUGUGGGACGGUGGGUAGAAAAUCUGCUGCAAUGGAGGUGGAGGACGAAAGCGGAGAAAGAGUACGCGGUAUUAUCCUCGCUAUCGUCACGAAGGGCUGUAGAGGUGGUGGAGGAAGGUUAGAGAGAAAAAAAAAAAGAGAAGGUUUUUGGAUGGUAUAGAAAAAGGUUUUUGGAUGCGGUUCGUAAAUCGCGUGGAGGCGGCCCACUUUCAACGACUUCAAAAUUUUUUUUACCGAAGUCAAAAAAAAUAGAUUUUAGUUAUAAUCCACUUCAUCGGUUCACUUUUCAAAAGUCACUUACAUGUUUACUUUUAUAAUCCAAACAAUCGAAAUAAUUUUACUUCGCCAAAAUAUCACUUUUAUUGUUUUACUUACAGGUAACCAAACAUGCCCUGAAGAGGAAAUGGGAAAAGUCGGUGAUGGUGGAAGGGUAUAUUUGAAAGGGUAAAAUAGUAAUUUUAUACAGAUAACAGAGUUGAUUAACAGAUUUUAACUCUGGGGUAUAUUUGAAAUAGGUUGAAACGUAAAGAAAGUAUUUUCAAUAUUAGUCUUCUAAGAUGAGUAAAUCAGAAAGUCGGAAACUUUUCAAGGGUAUAUAAGCAAUUGCCCUUUUUUUAUAUAUAUUUGUUUCACCAAAAGUAAAGGAGCUUAAAGUUGUU